rnacentral:rRNA from 1 species
UACGUAGGUGGCAAGCGUUAUCCGGAUUUAUUGGGUUUAAAGGGAGCGUAGGUGGAUUGUUAAGUCAGUUGUGAAAGUUUGCGGCUCAACCGUAAAAUUGCAGUUGAAACUGGCAGUCUUGAGUACAGUAGAGGUGGGCGGAAUUCGUGGUGUAGCGGUGAAAUGCUUAGAUAUCACGAAGAACUCCGAUUGCGAAGGCAGCUCACUGGACUGCAACUGACACUGAGGCUCGAAAGUGUGGGUAUCAAACAGG